GACGAACGCUGGCGGCGUGCUUAACACAUGCAAGUCGAGCGGUAAGGCCCUUUCGGGGGUACACGAGCGGCGAACGGGUGAGUAACACGUGGGUGACCUGCCCUCAGCUCUGGGAUAAGCCUGGGAAACCGGGUCUAAUACUGGAUAUGACUCCAUGACGCAUGUUGUGGGGUGGAAAGCCUUGUGCGGCUGAGGAUGGGCCCNGGCCUAUCAGCUUGUUGGUGGGGUNANGGCCUACCAAGGCGACGACGGGUAGCCGGCCUGAGAGGGCGACCGGCACACUGGGACUGAGACACGGCCCAGACU
rnacentral:rRNA from 1 species